rnacentral:rRNA from 1 species
UACGUAGGGUGCAAGCGUUAUCCGGAAUCACUGGGCGUAAAGCGUGCGUAGGUGAGAAAUUUAAGUGAGAUGUGAAAUCGUGUGGCUCAACCAUAUCGUUGUAUCUCAUACUGGGUUCCUAGAGGACGGCAGAGGCAAGUGGAACUAGCAGUGUAGCAGUGAAAUGCGUAGAUAUUGCUAAGAACACCAAUGGCGAAGGCAGCUUGCUGGGCCACUCCUGACACUGAGGUACGAAAGCGUGGGGAGCGAACAGG